ACCCUUGUGGCGUAGAAGUUAGCGUAUCUGCCUCCGGUCAGGAUAGCAGAGGGUCGCGGGUGCAAUUCCCGUCAGGGGUU
rfam:Wallemia ichthyophaga EXF-994 unplaced genomic scaffold scaffold7, whole genome shotgun sequence.